GUCUGGAUGAAAUGUCUAAUGUGUUAAUGUCAUUCAUCCAACACAAUUAUUAAAACUGGAACAAAAAAAAAUGACUAAAUUGGAGCCAAAAUCAUUGUUGAGUACAUUGCCAUCAAAUUUAUCAAUGAUAAACAUGCUAAUAUUGUUGAUUAUGGUGGUGUAAAAGUGAUAAUUGUUUCGUGUUGUGUGUAAUCAUUGAACCUGUAGUGCUGAUCAAAUAAAAUCAUCAUGAAUCACUACAUGGCAUUGCUGAUCAGAGAGAAUCAUCAUGAACGUUGAAGCUUUUUGAUGACCAGCGUGGGAAGAUGAUAAACGUCCAUUAAAAAGGCUUGAUAUGAGUUGACCAGUUUAUGUGGGUUUAUGGCAAUGGAUAGGUCUAGACUACAUUCAACAAUAAUGCGGACAUUUGGACAAUAAGUAAGUAAUAACAAUAAUCAUAGAAAAACA